GUGAGUUGUGCCCUUUACGAUAUAUAGUCGGAUGCUGCGAAUGCUAUCUUCGUGCCAUUUGAAACAGUGUGGAAAUUAUAAUAUUUUAUUCAUAUGAACCUAUUUUUGAACUGAUGUGAAAGAUAAAAAUUAGAAGUGGUGGAUGCGAGUGAUGGAUUGUUGUCGCGCACCUGGGGUUUCCACUUUCCAGUGAGGUUUUUAUUGCGGUAAUUGUUGGCGCUGUCACAGUAGAACCAGUACAUGCACAGCGCACCAUCAAAAUCAACGAGCGCCGUCACGGAUAGAUUGACAGAUGACCUGCUUUAAAGAAAAUAUCACACAGAAAGCGCGACGGAUCGUACCCAAACACAGCUUCGGGGCUGCAUAUAAAGGAGGCAGAACUUCCAAUCAGCGGACGUUCCAUUCGUUAACAGUCGCUUCGUCGGCAGGUGUGGCCUUACCGAUCGCAUUGCAGCAAGCAUAUUAUAUCCAUCUGCCGUAUGUUUAAGUGCGGUCAAUUUUGCGGCGUGGGCUCAGACACUUGCCGAAAUUUUCGAAACGUCUUCAUGGACCUACUACAAUCUCAAAAGGAAUCUGGAUCGUCAGAGAAAAUAAUCUGUUCCUAACUUCCUGUUGUGUAUAAAAAUCUGCCAACUGCCUUAUCCUAUUGGUGCCCGUGCCGCGAUAUCCGAAGCGGAAAUGUCAGAAGCAUUGAACAGGACGCGUAAUGUUAGCCGAAUUACUUUCCGUGGAACUGAGAUUUACGGCCCUGUUUGACGGGUGUGGUUUUUUUUGCAGUACAACUAAUACCGCAGCGAUUAACCCUAUUGUACAAUCAAAAUAUUAUUUUGUCUUCCGCUGUAUAUUAUACAAACUCGUUGAGCACCAUACAGAUAAAAAUUUCGAUUAUUCCUUUACGGGAUGCAGUUGUUCUUAAACGUUAUUUAGGCUAACUGCCGAUCCAGCUGCAAACCUAUUAAGGUAAUUAUAUAAGGGAAUCUAGAAUUGUGUUGUGAAAACCUUUUGUUUGACUAAGUAAAUGAUGGAAUUUUUUCACUUGGUUGCGUAUAAGUAAAAGCCGGUACAAAAAACGCAGAGAUUAAAACGGUGUCUUAAUUACCUAUACAAGUACUCUUCUUUGAUGGAGCUGAUAAUAUUCGUAUUAUUAUUGCUUUGCAAUACAUUUCAAUACCGGAAGUGUAUCAACGACCUGACUAAUUGACUCUAACGUCCUAAUUAUUUUCAAAUAACGCCGCUGUCCUAUCUGUUGCUUGUGCAGAGAAAUAAGUCGAUAUGUGGUCUACGGCAUCAAAAGACAGUUUGCUUAACUAGUUAGAGUUUUUUUUUGUACCCAUUGCACAAUUUUGUCAUACGAUUGCCUAAAUUUUUUAAAGUUGAAACAAGUUCUCCAUUAAUUACUGUGCAAUAACGGUCGUAAGAUUAACAUCCCCGUUAUGCAAAUCUUGAUCUAAAUCUUUGUGAAAUUACGGGAAGCCGAAUACUAUACUGACAUCGACAAACCUGUUAAGGAUAGCAAUUUCAGAUUGCACACUGUAGUUGAUAUUUUUUGUCGCUUUGCCGCUUCCGCUAUAUGGUAUCAUUGCUUGCGGUGACGGCAGUUUUGCCCAUCGUUUCUCUGGAAAUUUAGCGUGUCCAUUUAGUUUUUAAUUGACCAUGAUUGCUUUCCUGCUGGUAACCAUUUCAGCGUUGUUCACUGUGUGCUUGGCAUACAACAACGGCUACGGAGGUUACGGGGGUGGAGGAUACGGUGGUGGUUAUCCAGCAUUUCCGGCAAUUCCGUGGUUUACGUUUCCUCAGCGAUGG